rnacentral:rRNA from 1 species
GACUACUCGGGUAUCUAAGCCUGUUUGAUCCCCACGCUUUCGUGCCUCAGCGUCAGUAAUGGCUUAGUAAGCUGCCUUCGCAAUCGGCGUUCUGUGUCAUAUCUAUGCAUUUCACCGCUACACAACACAUUCCACCUACCUCAACCAUACUCAAGAAAAACAGUAUCAAUGGCAAUUCUACCGUUAAGCGGCAGUAUUUCACCACUGACUUAUUUUCCCACCUGCGCACCCUUUAAACCCAAUGAAUCCGGAUAACGCUUGCAUCCUCCGUAUUACCGCGGCUGCUGGCACGGAGUUAGCCGAUGCUUAUUCAUACCUUACCGGCAACUGGUUACUCGUAACCAGGUUUCUUCAGGUACAAAAGCAGUUUACAACCCAUAGGGCCGUCAUCCUGCACGCGGGAUGGCUGGUUCAGCCUUUCGCCCAUUGACCAAUAUUCCUCACUGCAGCCACCCGUAGG